AGCUCUGCUUCAACCAGUGCCCUGGGAAUGCCUCCCAGCCCCACAUCUGUCCUGUCGGCCCAGGCGAGCUCCAUGCCAUGUGGCAUCUCUGCUGGUGGCCACCUGCAGCAGCAGAUAGGCCAGGUCUCCCCAGGUGGCCUCCUUCAGCCUGACAAUAUAAAUUAACAGUCUGGUCUUCAUGACGUGGGACAAAAGGAGACAAGAAAUCGUCCCUCCUGCCCCUGAGACGAAUGCAUAUUUGACGUCUUCCUCUACUCUGUUUAUUAAGUGGAGAUUUACUGAGCACAAGGUGAAUGGGAAACUCCGAUGGCACUUCCCAGCCCAGCCACGGCAGCCACCUCAGUAACAAGACCAUCUCCUUGACUGAGUUCCAGCCAGGCUCCUUGGAGCCUCUCCACUCGGCCUCAACUUUGGCUUGUAAAGACUUGAGCAGACACUAACAGUGUCUAACAGCUUCUGGCCGCACCCCUAGGCCGACCCCUGCCCCGUCAACACCUGCCUGAGAAAGCUCCGUGCACCAGAACUGACUGACUGCUCCAACCCCGACCUCCCUUUCUCAGGGCAUCUGCUGAAAGGCCUGCGACCACACGUCCUUCUGUCCGUUCCCGAGGUCUGUGCAUUUCCUGUGACCCAGGAGGGCCUUUCUCGGGACCUGAGAGCCACUCCCUGAAGUGUCCCCAUUGGGAAGAUGGGGCCGGUGUCUCCAGGCUCUGGGAGGACAGAAUCCUGACCUCAACAGUGGCCAGCGUGGACACAGCGGGCCCCAUCCCAGCGACGCUGACCAGCGCUGGGCAACUUUUCCCUUCCUCGACGACUGAGCCCCGAGCACCCUCCCUGCUCCCUGUACCAUCUCCCUUUACAAGGCUGUCGCCUCUGCACAGACGAAGGUGUGUUCAGGUCUUGCUGGACUCUUUCUUCUGUUGCAAUAGUUAUUUCUGUUGAAAAUCUGUCCUUGCUAUGUGACCUAGUGCCCAGCUUUAUCUUUGAAAAUGUCUGUCUCCACCUCUGCCUCUCCGGCCUGGUCCCUGUUUCUGGCACCCAACAUGUCUCUUACGGGCUGAAUUUUGCCCCAGAAUGAAUCACACACCAGGUUUCACCCAGACCUGAUUAAGGUGAUAUUUUGAUGAGAUUUUAGGCUGAGAAUUGAUGCGGAAAGGGCUAAGACUUGGGGAUGCUGAGAUAGGAUCAAUGUAUUUUGCAUGUGAGAAGAACAUGAAUUUUGGGGACCAGAGUAUGGACUGUUAUGAGUUACGUUGUGACCCCGACAAAUUCAUAUAUUGAAGUCUUAAUCCCCAGCCUCACAAUGUGACUGUGUUUGGAGAUGGGGUCUUUACAGAGCUCAUUACGUUCCUAUGAGAUCACUAAUCUAAUCUGAUGUGUGUUCUUCUAAGAAGAGAAGCUUAGGACGCGGGCACACAGAGGGAUGGCCAUGUGAGGACCCAGGGAGGAGACGGUGUGUAUAAGCCAAGGAGAGAGGGCUUGAGAGAAACCAGCCCUGCCUGCAUCCCGAUCUCAGAUUCCUGGUCUCUAGGCCUGGGAGGAUGGAUGUCUGGGGUGCGAGCCGCCCCUCUGUGGUCCUGAGCUGACUCACACAGAUCUGACACCCACCUCUUGAUUCUGGAAGGCCCUCUGUGUGGCUCUGCCUGGCCAGCCUGAGCCAGCUCCCAGGCCUCAACCCAGCUUGUCCUGGAAGCCCUGCCCCAUGCAGAGUGACCAGGGCAGGCAGCACCGUGCCCAGCAGGAGGAGAAACUGCAUCCAUGUAGGCAAGAGGAGAAGCCCCGGGGGUCCAUGUAGCGACAGGGGCC